rnacentral:sRNA from 1 species
GACAGAGGAAAGAAAGCUAAGUACGUCACAUCGUGUGGCAACGCCUUCGUGACCAACAUCCUCUUGG